AGAGAUGUGUGAUGACGCAUAUUCAAUAAGCGGAGGAAAAGAAACUAACAAGGAUUCCCCUUAGUAACGGCGAGUGAAGCGGGAAGAGCUCAAAUUUGAAAUCUUCAAGGGUUCUACCUUGACGAAUUGUAGUUUAUAGAAGUGUUUUCUGUUAGUAGAGGUGGCUAAAAGUUCUUUGGAAUAGGACAUCAUAGAGGGUGAGAAUCCCGUAUUUGGUCAUUCUUUCUAGCUUUGUGAUAGCACUUUCAACGAGUCGGAUUGUUUGGGAAUGCAGUCCAAAAUGGGUGGUAAAUUUCAUCUAAAGCUAAAUAUUGGCGAGAGACCGAUAGCGAACAAGUACCUGUGAGGGAAAGAUGAAAAGAACUUUGAAAAGAGAGUUAAACAGUACGUGAAAUUGUCAAAAGGGAAGCGUUUGACACCAGUGUUGUUUUUCCGAAAAUCAAUUACGAAUGUUUUGUUUUUGAGGAGUUAUGACUUCAUCGGCUUGCUCCUUUCUUUACUGAAACUUUCUUAAUGCACUUUUCGGUUAACAAGUCAACAUCAAUUUCUUUUGUUGUAAAAGGGUACGAGGAAGGUGGCUUUCUUUUCGGAGAAAGUGUUUAUAGCCUUGUGCCUCUGCAAUCGGAGAGAUUGAGGUCUGCAGCGUAGAUCCUUCGGGGUUAGAUACAUUUGUGCUAAGUUAUAGCUUUUCAUAGACAACUUGUUGACUAUGUUUAGUCUUGUAGCUUACUCGCUUAUGCUAUUUUACCUACGCUUAGGAUGUUGAAGAUGUAGCACAUCAU
rnacentral:rRNA from 1 species